GCCCGGCUAGCUCAAUCGGAAGAGCGUGAGACUCUUACGAGUAACAGACAUCUCAAGGUUGUGGGUUCGAGCCCCACGUUGGGCU